rnacentral:rRNA from 1 species
UUUGACGUUAGCGGCGGACGGGUGAGUAACACUGGGUAACCUACCUAUAAGACUGGGAUAACUUCGGGAAACCGGAGCUAAUACCGGAUAAUAUUUCGAACCGCAUGGUUCGAUAGUGAAAGANGGUUUUGCUAUCACUUAUAGAUGGACCCGCGCCGUAUUAGCUAGUUGGUAAGGUAACGGCUUACCAAGGCGACGAUACGUAGCCGACCUGAGAGGGUGAUCGGCCACACUGGGACUGAGACACGGUCCAGACUCCUACGGGAGGCAGCAGCG